AGCGAACGUUAGCGGCAGGCCUAAUACAUGCAAGUCGAACGGCAGCACAGCAGAGCUUGCUCUGUGGGUGGCGAGUGGCGGACGGGUGAGGAAUACAUGGGAAUCUGCCCAGUCGUGGGGGAUAACGUAUGGAAACGUACGCUAAUACCGCAUGCGCCCUACGGGGGAAAGUCGGGGACCGCAAGGCCUGGCGCGAUUGGAUGAGCCCAUGUUCGAUUAGCUAGUUGGCGGGGUAAAGGCCCACCAAGGCGACGAUCGAUAGCUGGUCUGAGAGGAUGAUCAGCCACACUGGAACUGAGACACGGUCCAGACUCCUACGGGAGGCAGCAGUAGGGAAUAUUGGACAAUGGGGGCAACCCUGAUCCAGCCAUGCCGCGUGAGUGAAGAAGGCCCUCGGGUUGUAAAGCUCUUUUGUCCGGAAAGAAAAGCAAUCGGUUAAUACCCGGUUGUUCUGACGGUACCGGAAGAAUAAGCACCGGCUAACUUCGUGCCAGCAG
rnacentral:rRNA from 1 species